UUUUUUUUUUUUUGCCUUUUUUGUUUUUUGCUCAUGCAUUAAAUCAACAGAGGAUUAUUUGCACAGGCAGAAAAUUAACAUACUAACGAGAGUGCUGUAUUUUUGGUUUUUUAGUCAUAUAGUAAACACUUGUAACAUGGGAAUGUUUUCAGUAACUAUGAAUUUGUUUCAAAGGCCUUUGGUACUUUUAAGGAGAGCAAUAUACAUUUGAAGUCACCUUAUUUUUAUUAAAUUAUAAAUCUUGCAAAAAGAAGUGGCUAUUGUGGCACAGUAAUUUUGUACUGAUAUCAAAUAUAUAGCUAUUAAGCUAUGGUUUUCUUUUCAACUCAUUCUUUUCAUCCUAAUUCAAAUUUGAUUUUAUUAGAUUGUAUUUGUCUAUGUAUACAAUUUCAAAAUGUUAUGAUUGGAUAAACUCAAAAAUAUAAGUAUUGAGUUGAUUCUGCUAUUCAGAAUUUUGGAAUAAAACACCUAUUAAUUAAUAGGGAUUCUGUUUUGGUUUGGUUGUGGUGGUUUUAUUUGUUUGUUUCAGUUCCAGGCAUAUUUUUAAAAUUGAAUUUAAUUCACCUGAAAAUAUUUCAUAGUAUGUGUUUAUGAUCCACAGUUAUCUACUAAGUACAAAAAGGUCACAUUUACACAACUUUUACAUUCUAAGCUAACUUGAGUAUAAAAAAAUGGGAAUCACAAGCAAGAAAGAAGAUCUAGUCACAAAUUAGACUGUGUCACAAGAAAACUUAUUUCCUACGAAAAAUUUUGUAUAUCGAAAAUAAGUAUUUCUGAUUUUAUAGCUGCCGAAUUUUUGUCCUUUGGUUAGGAAAAUUCUCAGGAGGGUGGUGUUUCUUUUCUUGUUGUAUUAUUAGACUAAUUUUACUUCAGUAUUACAUUCUUCUUGUUUAACAAUCAUACUGAUCUUUGUGAGUGGGUGACAGUAAAUAUUUUGUCUUACAACAAAGACAUACAUGUUUAUUUUACAUUGCUAGAAUACUUAGAAAUAAAUGUUGGUGCUUGUGAACCCUUUAGAAAAAACUCCGAACUACUGAGUUCCCUGGAUUGCUAGUAGAGAAUUUGUUAACCUAAAGAAAAUAAUAAAAAAGGACACC
rnacentral:lncRNA from 1 species